rnacentral:lncRNA from 1 species
CACAUAAUCAUAAUUUCACUGCAAGCUGUCUUCCUGAGCAACAGUCACUAAAUUAUUUAUAACUGGAGCUACGAAACUCCAAAUCAAGUGUCGUUAAUUUUCCCUGAAAAUAGGCUCAUAUAUCUUCUAUCCAUAAAAUUUUCAGAAUUUUUGGUAUGGCCAAUCAAUACCAGAUUUUUCUUAAAGUUUCCCAUGUUUCACUGUUUGACUAAUCUGACCACUCUUCAUUACGAAUCAAAUUUCUAAUUGUACAGAAUUCAAAAUAUGUUCUCGUUUAUUCCAUUUGAAACUAGACUCAUUAAGAUUUAAUUACAUAAUUUAUGCAGCUUCUAACUCAU